GGAGGCUCUAGGCACCGGAGGGGAGGUGAUCCAGGGGUUCUGCCACCUUCUCACAGACAGUCCAGUGCUUCAGGGCCCCUGCUGGUAAGAGGUCACUGUGGAGGAGAGAGAAUGUGUGCAGCCUCAGAGGGCUGGAGCCACCUGCC